UACGAAGGGGACUAGCGUUGUUCGGAAUUACUGGGCGUAAAGCGCACGUAGGCGGAUUUGUUAGUCAGGGGUGAAAUCCCGGGGCUCAACCUCGGAACUGCCUUUGAUACUGCAAGUCUCGGGUCCGAUAGAGGUGGGUGGAAUUCCUAGUGUAGAGGUGAAAUUCGUAGAUAUUAGGAAGAACACCGGUGGCGAAGGCGGCCCACUGGAUCGGUACUGACGCUGAGGUGCGAAAGCGUGGGGAGCAAACAGG
rnacentral:rRNA from 1 species